rnacentral:misc_RNA from 1 species
CUGCUGCAGGAACUCGACGACGCGUGGCUUGCUGCGCAUUUCGUCGAGCACACAGCGGGCGUCAACGGCGCACUGCUCAGCAGCAGAGAGGAGGCAUCGGCAGAGGGCUCACGGCCAUGGGCAAAUGCGAGCUCGCUGCAAUCCAUGGACAGGGAGCCAACCGCGCUGCGUGGAAGAGGAACAGGGAGGGCGUGGCUGGAGGAAAGGGGCGAGCUGCUUGUGGCCAUGGGGGAGAAGAAAGGGCGCCGUCGAGGGAGCUUCAACAGUGGAGCGCUCGGCUGCUAG